UACGGAUUCGACAGGGAUAGUUCGAGCUUAGGUUGCGAGUCGAGGGGAUCGGCCUCGUAAAAACGUCAAAGCCAAUAACUGGCAAAACAAACAACAACUUCGCUUUAGCUGCUUAAUAACAGUCUAUAGCGGUUCCUCCCUCCAUCGCCCAUGUGGUAGGGUAAGGGACUCACUCUAAGUGGGCUACGCCGGAGUUCGCCGUCUGAGGACAAAGGAAGAGAACAACCAGACUAGCUACCUUAAAGCCUGUCGAUAGGCCAAGAGGUUAGCGAAUCGCUAAUAUAUCGACUACACUCGUAGAAGCUUAAGUGCCGUUAUGUCUGGACGUGGGUUCGAUUA
rnacentral:tmRNA from 1 species